ensembl:lncRNA
CGUGUCUUUACCUCCACCCCCUGUCCUGUGGCGCGCGCAGCCACCAAAGCGAGCGUGGCUUGCAUGCAUAACACCAAAACAAGUAGCGAUGAAUACCAACUGUUUAUCGUCUAACAAAUGUGUAAAUACGGUCCCAUCGCCGUAGAGAAGGAAACAAACACACACGGAUAAGGACAGGCCCUCUGUCUCCAUUUUCUCAGACGAUUCCUCCUCCUCCUCCACCACCACCUCCGCCUGCUCCUCUCGCUUGGUGCUGGGGUGAAUGGUGGGUCCAUGGGGUGAGCAGUAAAUGGCUGAGGAGCUGUGCACUGGCUGGUUUCGCAUCAUCGCAGGAUCAUUGGAAAUAGAGGAAUGCAAAUCUGCAACCAUGAUGGAAGCAUGGCAGCGGGCCAGGCCUGUGCAAACAGAUGUCAAUUCCAAUCGGCCGAGAAUGCAACAGAGCAGUGACGCAGAUACACGGCUACAGGAAGAGAUUACCCUCGGCAGCACCAACACCAUCCACCCCGUCCCUUCGCGCUGGGGAGAGCACUUCUGAAGGAAGCAUAGUUCGACAGUCCAGUAGAUGGGUGAAUUGACAGAGCGAUAGUCGUUAGGGUUGAUACGAUUUAGGGUUGGAAGGAUUUGAAGGGAUGGGGAAAGAAAGUAAUUAAAAAGCAAAAAAAAGACGCUUUGCACAUGCGGAGGAAUCGGGUUUUUUAAGCUAUGGGGCAAGUGUCCCUAGUUUACUUAGGGACACAGUUGGACAGUAAACUCUGUCAUUCAGGAACAAAUAAAGAGUGUUUGCAUUUUUCUUAACAUUAGCCCUUCUGUUGACCUUAUAGUUGACUAGUGGGUACCGACAUGAACUGUCUUCAAGGGAAAUGCUAUGUCAAUCGAAUUAGCUAAUGGUUGACUUUGGCUUGCAAUGCUUUGUGAGUUACGUCAAAAUUCACCACACUUGAAUAAAAAUGGGGUAUUCAGAUAAAUAAGAAAAAAAAAUAUAUAUAUUUGCGCAAUAUGUUAGUCUCUUCGUAUUGUUGUUGUUCUCCUUCGGUGGUCAUUGGCAUGUUAAAAACUAACUAGUACUGUGUUACACUGUUAUUUGGCUGCAGCUGUGAUUACAACCGUAAUUAAUGCUGAAACACAGGAAGCACUCUGAUUGAAGAGCGUUGCCAUGGCAAGACACACAGAAAAAUAAAUGUCUGUUUAUAAGCAGCUAUAAACACACUUGGGAAGGUAUA